rnacentral:rRNA from 1 species
UACAGAGGUCUCAAGCGUUGUUCGGAUUCAUUGGGCGUAAAGGGUGCGUAGGCGGCGCGGUAAGUCGGGGUGUGAAAUCUCGGAGCUUAACUCCGAAACUGCAUUCGAUACUGCCGUGCUUGAGGACUGGAGAGGAGACUGGAAUUUACGGUGUAGCGGUGAAAUGCGUAGAUAUCGUAAGGAAGACCAGUGGCGAAGGCGGGUCUCUGGACAGUUCCUGACGCUGAGGCACGAAGGUCAGGGGAGCAAACAGG